CUCAGCAAAGCGUUGGACCCCCGCACAAAAGGGCUAUCCAACUAUGAAGAAGAACACCUGGCAAUUGUCCUGGCUGUUGAGUAGUGGCGGCCGUACCUGCAGUUUGGCGAGUUUGUGAUCAAAACUGACCAGUGCAGCUUAGUGCAUUUGGAAGAACAGCGGCUCCACACCCCUUGGCAACAGAAAGCGUUUACCAAACUCUUGGGACUGCGGUCUGCUACCGCAAAGGAUUUGAAAAUGGCGCCGCGGACGCUCUCUCUAGGUGCACGGUAUCUUCUUGUGGAUAGCUCUACACCAUAUCUGUGUGGCAACCCGCGUGGUUACAGGAGAUCGUCAGAGGUUAUGACCAAGACCCAAAGACACAACAACUGGUCACCCAACUUGCAGUCGCACCGGUGGCUGGGGGUAAGUUCACCUUGCACAAGGGCAUUGUCCAUUUCAAUGGUUGGGUCUGGCUGGGCAACAACACGCAUCUCCAACAACAAAUUAUGCAUGCCUUGCACGGUAGUGCUAUGGGUGGUCAUUCAGGCUUUCCGGCAACAUAUAGGAGAAUCAAGCAUCUGUUCGUGUGGCCUGGGAUGA
rnacentral:rRNA from 1 species